UACGUAGGGGGCAAGCGUUGUCCGGAAUUAUUGGGCGUAAAGAGCGCGUAGGCGGUCCGAUAAGUCGGCUGUGAAAGUCAGGGGCUCAACCCUUGAAAGCCGGCCGACACUGUCGGACUAGAGUCCGGAAGAGGCAAGUGGAAUUCCCGGUGUAGCGGUGAAAUGCGCAGAUAUCGGGAGGAACACCUGUGGCGAAGGCGGCCGCCUGGUUGGAUACUGACGCUGAGACGCGAAAGCGUGGGGAGCAAACAGG
rnacentral:rRNA from 1 species